AUUGAACGCUGGCGGCAUGCCUUACACAUGCAAGUCGAACGGCAGCACGGGAGCAAUCCUGGUGGCGAGUGGCGAACGGGUGAGUAAAGUAUCGGAACGUGCCCAGUCGUGGGGGAUAACGUAGCGAAAGUUACGCUAAUACCGCAUACGAUCUAUGGAUGAAAGCGGGGGAUCGCAAGACCUCGCGCGAUUGGAGCGGCCGAUAUCAGAUUAGGUAGUUGGUGGGGUAAAGGCCCACCAAGCCGACGAUCUGUAGCUGGUCUGAGAGGACGGCCCGCCACACUGGGACUGAGACACGGCCCAGACUCCUACGGGAGUCAGCAGUGGGGAAUUUUGGACAAUGGGCGAAAGCCUGAUCCAGCCAUGCCGCGUGCAGGAUGAAGGCCUUCGGGUUGUAAACUGCUUUUGUACGGAACGAAAAGGACUGCCCUAAUACGGUGGUCCCAUGACGGUACCGUAAGAAUAAGCACCGGCUAACUACGUGCCAGCCGCCGCAGUAA
rnacentral:rRNA from 1 species